AUUGAACGCUGGCGGCAUGCCUUACACAUGCAAGUCGAACGGCAGCGCGGGGCAACCUGGCGGCGAGUGGCGAACGGGUGAGUAAUAUAUCGGAACAUACCCUAGAGUGGGGGAUAACGUAGCGAAAGUUACGCUAAUACCGCAUACGCACUAAGGUGGAAAGUGGGGGAUUCGCAAGAACCUCAUGCUCAUGGAGUGGCCGAUAUCUGAUUAGCUAGUUGGUGAGGUAAAGGCUCACCAAGGCAACGAUCAGUAGCUGGUUUGAGAGAACGACCCAGCCACACUGGAACUGAGACACGGUCCAGACUCCUACGGGAGGCAGCAGUGGGGAAUUUUGGACAAUGGGGGCAACCCUGAUCCAGCAAUGCCGCGUGAGUGAAGAAGGCCU
rnacentral:rRNA from 1 species